GAUGAACGCUGGCGGCGUGCCUAAUACAUGCAAGUCGAGCGAACAGACGAGGAGCUUGCUCCUCUGACGUUAGCGGCGGACGGGUGAGUAACACGUGGAUAACCUACCUAUAAGACUGGGAUAACUUCGGGAAACCGGAGCUAAUACCGGAUAAUAUAUUGAACCGCAUGGUUCAAUAGUGAAAGACGGUUUUGCUGUCACUUAUAGAUGGAUCCGCGCCGCAUUAGCUAGUUGGUAAGGUAACGGCUUACCAAGGCGACGAUGCGUAGCCGACCUGAGAGGGUGAUCGGCCACACUGGAACUGAGACACGGUCCAGACUCCUACGGGAGGCAGCAGUAGGGAAUCUUCCGCAAUGGGCGAAAGCCUGACGGAGCAACGCCGCGUGAGUGAUGAAGGUCUUCGGAUCGUAAAACUCUGUUAUUAGGGAAGAACAAAUGUGUAAGUAACUAUGCACGUCUUGACGGUACCUAAUCGAAAGCCACGGCUAACUACGUG
rnacentral:rRNA from 1 species